rnacentral:rRNA from 1 species
UACGGGGGGGGGCAAGCGUUGUUCGGAUUUACUGGGCGUAAAGCGCGUGUAGGCGGCUUGGCAAGUCGGAUGUGAAAGCCCACGGCUCAACCGUGGAAGCGCAUCCGAAACUGCUUCGCUCGAGUCUCGGAGAGGAAGGUGGAAUGCUUGGUGUAGAGGUGAAAUUCGUAGAUAUCAAGCAGAACACCUGCGGCGAAGGCGGCCUUCUGGACGAUGACUGACGCUGAGACGCGAAAGCGUGGGGAGCAAACAGG